GACGAACGCCGGCGGCGUGCUUAACACAUGCAAGUCGAACGGAAAGGCCCUGCUUUUGUGGGGUGCUCGAGUGGCGAACGGGUGAGUAACACGUGAGUAACCUGCCCUUGACUUUGGGAUAACUUCAGGAAACUGGGGCUAAUACCGGAUAGGAGCUCCUGCUGCAUGGUGGGGGUUGGAAAGUUUCGGCGGUUGGGGAUGGACUCGCGGCUUAUCAGCUUGUUGGUGGGGUAGUGGCUUACCAAGGCUUUGACGGGUAGCCGGCCUGAGAGGGUGACCGGCCACAUUGGGACUGAGAUACGGCCCAGGCUCCUACGGGAGGCAGCAGUGGGGAAUAUUGCACAAUGGGCGGAAGCCUGAUGCAGCAACGCCGCGUGCGGGAUGACGGCCUUCGGGUUGUAAACCGCUUUCGCCUGUGACGAAGCGUGAGUGACGGUAAUGGGUAAAGAAGCACCGGCUAACUACGUG
rnacentral:rRNA from 1 species